UUUCAGAAUUUGAAGAAACUUGUUCAUGGUAUAAUUUUCACUCUGAUGCAAACAUUAUUUUGUAUUAGCCUUAUUUGCCCACUUUCUUGUUUUACUAAGACAUGAAGUAUAUCUGCCAAGCAGUCUUAGUCUAUCAUGAUGAUCCAGAAGUAUUAGCAGAUAGCUGUUGGGCUAUUUCCUACCUUACUGAUGGUCCAAAUAAACGAACUGACAUGUUCUUGAAAAUAGGAGUUUUGCCCCAACUUGUGAAGCUUCUAGGAGCUUCUGAAUUGCCAACUGUGACUCCUGCACUAAGACCCAUAGGGAAUAUUGUCACUGGUACAGAUGAAGAGACUCAGGUUGUGAUCGAUGCAGGAGCUCUUGCUGUCUUUCCCAACCUGCUCAUCAACUCCAAAACUAACUUUCAGAAGGAAGGUACAUGGACAAUGUCAAACAUCACAGCUGACCCUCAGGAUGAGAUACAGCAAGUUGUGAAUCAUGGAUUAGUCCCGUUCCUCACAAUGUUCUCUCUAAGGCAGAUUUUAAAGACACAAAAGGAAGCUGUAUGGGGCCAUGACCAACUAUACCAGUGGUGGAACAGUUGAACAGGCUGUAUACCUCAUUCAUUGUGGCCUAAUAAAACCAUUGAUGAAUCUCUUAACUUCAAAAGAUACCAAGGUUAUUCUGGUUAUCCUGGAUGCCAUUUCGAACAUCUUUCAGGCUGCUGAGAAACUAGGUGAAACUGAGAAACUUAGUAUAAUGAUUGAAGAAUGUGGAGGCUUAGACAAAAUUGAGGCUCUACAAAACCAUGAAAAUGAGUCUGUGUAUAAGGCUUUGUUAAGCUUAAUUGAGAAGAAUUUCUUGGUAGAGGAAGAGGAAGAUCAAAAUGCUGUGCCAGAAACUAACUCUGAAGGCUGUACCUUCCAAGUUCAGAAUGGGACUCCUGGAACGUUUAACUUUUAGAUCAUGUAGCUGAGGUAUGUAUUUGUUGUGUACUAUAUUUGGUAUUUUGUCUUACUGUUUCUCUACUAAGAACUCUUUUUAAAUGUGGUUGGUUAUUGUAGCACUUUUUACACUGAAACUAUACUUGAACAGUUCCAACUGUACAUACUGUAGGAAGCUUGUCCUCUGAAUGGGUUUCUUAUUUCUGUGUGGAAUUUCUUAUCUUGCAGCAUCCUAUAAAUAAACAAUAAAGUCCACCCUUUACUUCAAAAAAAAAAAAUCAGGAGGACUUCUGCAUGGGGGAAAGUUCACUGUGGAGUAUUUGGAGCCCAAACAUGGACCUCCAUGCAGGGGGUCAUCCCCACGCAGGGUGUCAGAGGAUGGACAGGGAGAGAGAGAGUCAACACUGGAAGGCAGAAGCUGUCUCAGGAUGCCAGAGCAUGAGAAGAGUGAGUAGGGCUGUUGCAGCAGAGCACAGGGUACAAGAACCCAAGCAUUUGAAGAAGAAUUCUGGUCAGGGAGAGAGCACAGCUGAGGUAUAUAAACCCAACCAGGGUAAGGGGGGCUUCAGGAAAGAGAGAAGCUUGUCAAAGGAGUGACUAACAGACUGACACCCAGCAUAGUGUGUCAUAGCCCAGGCGGGUUGCCUAGGUGGCAACCUAGUGCAGCGUGUCAGAGCUUGAGAGAGAGAAGGAAAGGCUUCGACAUGGAGGGAAAAGGUAUGUGAAGCCUGAGGCCACAGGUAGAGAUUCAAGCAAGAUGAGGAGGAUGUCCACCCAGGGUAGGAAGAAGCAGCUCGUGACUGGGGCCAGAUCCUGAGUGAAAGUGCAAGGUGGUGCUCAUGUCAGAACUUAAGCAGAAUGAGAGAAUCUGUGUUGGAGAGGGCAACAGUGGUGAUGAGAAAUUGGUUCACUCAGGAAAUGCUUUCAUUCCUUCAGGCUGCUCUAACAAAAUACCAUAAACUACAUGGCUUGCAAACAACAGAAAUUUAUUUCUCACAGUUCUGGAAGCUGGGAAGUCCAAGAUCAAGAUGCGAGCAGAUUUGACAUCUGAUGAGGAUCGUCUUCCUGGUUCAUGGUCAGCCAUCUUGUCACUGUGUCCUCAGAUGGCAGAAGGGGCAAAGCAACUCUCUAGGACCUCUUUUAAAAGGACACUAAUCCCAUUCAUG
rnacentral:lncRNA from 1 species